UACGUAGGGGGCAAGCGUUGUCCGGAUUUAUUGGGCGUAAAGAGCGUGUAGGCGGUUUGGUAGGUCCGUUGUGAAAACUCGAGGCUCAACCUCGAGACGCCGGCGGAAACCAUCAGGCUAGAGUCCGGAAGAGGAGAGUGGAAUUCCUGGUGUAGCGGUGAAAUGCGUAGAGAUCCGGAGGAAGACCGGUGGCGAAGGCGGCCUGCUGGGCAGUUACUGACACUGAGGCGCGACAGCGUGGGGAGCAAACAGG
rnacentral:rRNA from 1 species